rnacentral:rRNA from 1 species
GUGCCAGCAGCCGCGGUAAUACAUGGGGUGCAAACGUUGCUCGGAAUUAUUGGGCGUAAAGCGCGCGUAGGCGGUUACUUAAGUCGGAUGUGAAAGCCCUCGGCUUAACUGAGGAAGUGCACCCGAAACUGAGUAGCUAGAGUACGAAAGAGGGUCGCGGAAUUCCCGGUGUAGAGGUGAAAUUCGUAGAUAUCGGGAGGAACACCGGUGGCGAAGGCGGCGACCUGGGUCGAGACUGACGCUGAGGCGCGAAAGCGUGGGGAGCAAACAGGAUUAGAAACCCGAGUAGUCC